rnacentral:tRNA from 1 species
UGGUGUCCUGCGUCAUCGGCGCCGGGGUGGGCUUCGCCUACGGUGCGAUGCCCUCGCUGAUCAUGGGCGCGGUGGAUCCGUCCGAGACGGCCGCCGCCAAC